rnacentral:RNase_P_RNA from 1 species
AGCAGGCCGAGCGACCGCGGGCACAUUCCGAAAGGAAGUGCGUGAGGAAAGUCCGGGCUCCAUAGGGCAAGGAUAACGGGUAACGCCCGCCAGGGGUGACCCUCGGACAAGUGCAACAGAGAUAUACCGCCGCCGCGGCCAUGUGCUGCGGCGGUAAGGGUGGAAAAGUGCGGUAAGAGCGCACUCGGCCCUCUGGCAACAGAGGGGCGCUGUAAACUCUAUCCGGAGCAACGCCGUGGAGGAACACACAGGCCGGCCCGGCCGUUCCGAGGAGGCGGCUUGAGCGCGGCGGCAACGCAGCGCCACAGAUAGAUGGUCGCUUAAGACAGAACCCGGCUUACAGACCGGCUCAC